rnacentral:rRNA from 1 species
CCGCGUGAGUGAUGAAGGUUUUCGGAUCGUAAAGCUCUGUUGUUAGGGAAGAACAAGUACCGUUCGAAUAGGGCGGUACCUUGACGGUACCUAACCAGAAAGCCACGGCUAACUACGUGCCAGCAGCCGCGGUAAUACGUAGGUGGCAAGCGUUGUCCGGAAUUAUUGGGCGUAAAGGGCUCGCAGGCGGUUUCUUAAGUCUGAUGUGAAAGCCCCCGGCUCAACCGGGGAGGGUCAUUGGAAACUGGGGAACUUGAGUGCAGAAGAGGAGAGUGGAAUUCCACGUGUAGCGGUGAAAUGCGUAGAGAUGUGGAGGAACACCAGUGGCGAAGGCGACUCUCUGGUCUGUAACUGACGCUGAGGAGCGAAAGCGUGGGGAGCGAACAGGAUUAGAUACCCUGGUAGUCCACGCCGUAAACGAUGAGUGCUAAGUGUUAGGGGGUUUCCGCCCCUUAGUGCUGCAGCUAACGCAUUAAGCACUCCGCCUGGGGAGA